UACGAGGGGAGCUAGCGUUGUUCGGAAUUACUGGGCGUAAAGGGCGCGUAGGCGGCCAGCACAAGUCAGUUGUGAAAUCUCCGAGCUUAACUCGGAACGGUCAACUGAUACUGUGCGGCUAGAGUGCAGAAGGGGCAACUGGAAUUCUUGGUGUAGCGGUGAAAUGCGUAGAUAUCAAGAGGAACACCUGCGGCGAAGGCGGGUUGCUGGGCUGACACUGACGCUGAGGCGCGAAAGCUAGGGGAGCGAACGGG
rnacentral:rRNA from 1 species